rnacentral:tmRNA from 1 species
GGGGGUGUUCCGGUUUCGACUGGCAUAGAUCAGGCUGAUGGCUGCAAGCAGAGCGCCAACUCUAAAAACUAGCAAAAAACAAUUAACUGCUAAAAAAGACGAAGAAUACUUCGAAACUGCAGAAUACGCUUUAGCUGCUUAAUAGCGCUUUAGUGUACAGGUCCACUUGGUGCCGCUCUUAACCAUUUGAAACCUGUAAUAAUAGGGGCUUACCCGUAUAGUUGUUAGUGAUAUACAGGGACAUUAAAGCUAACUUGGUUGGGACAACGUUUGUCAAUGUACAGCGUUCCUUCGACAAAAUGAUCAUUGACUAAGCUUGUAGAUGUCGUUGGGUGGCAUGUUAGGACGGGGGUUCGAAUCCCCCCACCUCCAUUU